rnacentral:rRNA from 1 species
CCUACGGGUGGCAGCAGUGGGGAAUAUUGCACAAUGGGGGAAACCCUGAUGCAGCGACGCCGCGUGAGUGAAGAAGUAUUUCGGUAUGUAAAGCCCUAUCAGCAGGGAAGAAGCAAGACGGUACCUGACUAAGAAGCCCCGGCUAACUACGUGCCAGCCGCCGCGGUAAUACGUAGGGGGCACGCGUUAUCCGGAUUUACUGGGUGUAAAGGGAGCGUAGACGGUAUGGCAAGUCGGAAGUGAAAGCCCAGGGCUUAACCCUGGGACGGCUUUGGAAACUGUUAGACUAGAGUGCUGGAGAGGUAAGUGGAAUUCCUAGUGUAGCGGUGAAAUGCGUAGAUAUUAGGAGGAACACCAGUGGCGAAGGCGGCGUACUGGACAGUAACUGACGUUGAGGCUCGAAAGCGUGGGGAGCGAACAGGAUUAGAUACCCUUGUAGUC